AGGAAAAAGACGUGAAGGAAUCUUUGGUUACCUUGUCGACGUGUUCCUCUUCCUUUUCCUUUUCUUUCGCUUCUUUUCCUUCUUCUUCUUUUUCUUUUG
rnacentral:ribozyme from 12 species